GAUGAACGCUGGCGGCGUGCCUAAUACAUGCAAGUCGAGCGAACGGACGAGAAGCUUGCUUCUCUGAUGUUAGCGGCGGACGGGUGAGUAACACGUGGAUAACCUACCUAUAAGACUGGGAUAACUUCGGGAGACCGGAGCUAAUACCGGAUAAUAUUUUGAACCGCAUAGUUCAAGAGUAAAAGACGGUCUUGCUGUCACUUAUAGAUGGAUCCGCGCUGCAUUAGCUAGUUGGUAAGGUAACGGCUUACCAAGGCAACGAUGCAUAGCCGACCUGAGAGGGUGAUCGGCCACACUGGAACUGAGACACGGUCCAGACUCCUGCGGGAGGCAGCAGUAGGGAAUCUUCCGCGAUGGGCGAAAGCCUGACGGAGCAACGCCGCGUGAGUGAUGAAGGUCUUCGGAUCGUAAAACUCUGUUAUUAGGGAAGAACAUAUGUGUAAGUAACUGUGCACAUCUUGACGGUACCUAAUCAGAAAGCCACGGCUGACUACGUG
rnacentral:rRNA from 1 species